CCCCCAUGAGGAAACCCCCACCCGUCUGACCCCCCCGCCGGGCCCAGGACCUGCAAAGGUGGAACCCCCUGGAGCCCCCGGGGGGACGAGAGGACGAGCAGUCCCAGCGGGGACGGUCUGAGGGGG
ensembl:snoRNA SNORD22 Small nucleolar RNA SNORD22